AUGGUCGCCGUCCAGAUCAAGAUCAACCUCGCCGUGGACAGGUCCCGGAACCGCGUCCUGUUCGCAGAUGCCGGCUCCGACUUCGUCGAUGCCCUCCUCACCUUCCUCACGCUCCCGCUCUCAGGCUUCCAGUCCUGCGCGACCCCAUCGCCGUGCUGCCUUCCCAGCCUCCGCGAUAGCGUCAGGACCCUCGGGAAGAGUGGGCUGCUGAAUGUUGAGGAGUGCUGUAGGACACUGCUCACUCCUGCUCACACAGACGAGUUCCCGCUCUGCAAGUCAACUCACAGUCGACGCAAGUGUUACCCGGUUAUGGCUAGAGUUUUGCAUGCCUACCAGCAGCUAGAUGGCGAAGGGAUAUUUGUAGGCGGCAAAGCACGGUUUGUGAUCAGUGAUGACAUGACAGUCAAGCCGGCAUCCACUAGGACUAUGCAGUCUCUUCCGCAGGCGUUGGGUUGUGAUGGGAUCGGCCAUGGCUUUGAGGUGGUCAAACAGGUUGUCGAGCGUAAGCAGCUAUUGGCUAUGUUGGAGGCCUUCCUCUCAUCAGAUACCGUAUUGACCGAUGCAUUUCUACCCAAGGAAUCAAUUGAUAGUGCCGCUCGCGCCACCAUGAAACCGAGCAUCAAUCGGAACAUUCCACCGUCUGAUCAAGAUUCUGCAGGUUCUUCACCAGAGAGCAAGAUCAAGAUCUUCUACGACACCUGCGAAAAGAAGGUCAUGUAUGCUGAAUGCAACCAUGAGUUCGUCAACCUGCUCCUCGGUUUCCUGACUUACCCGGUCGGCUCUGUCAUCAAGAACACGGGCCCUGGCACUUCACAUCUCGAAGGUGCUUCGAUAAUCUUUACAGAAGCGUCAUCGAUCUCGACAACACUGGCAGCUUAA
rnacentral:rRNA from 1 species